rnacentral:misc_RNA from 1 species
GCGUACUUAGGCAAGACGUAUACAUGUCAUGCAUGGAACAACAUCACGAACACACGUACACAGCUAGCUCUCUCAUCGGAGAGCCAUGGCCGCCGUACGCGCAUGCAGCUACCACUCUUUAUUCCCACGUCUCCCUACGAAGGAGCAGUAGCACUUGGUGGAUGGGUCCCUGGAGACUGGAGAGUGCCACGCCCGGUGACACGUACGUACGCGGUAAGCGUACACUACCCUUUUAUUAUUAGCUCUGCGCCACGCCAUGCACGUCGUCGAUCGUCACACCACCUCAAGGAUGGCGCCGGCCACCGUUUCCCAGCCACGGCCGCGGCGGCAGUCGCGCACGCACUGCUGCUGCUUGUCGUAGUCGCGGUGGUGCUGCUGGCACUUCUUCUCGCACCGGUCGCCGUGGCUGGCGUCGUCGUCAGCGUCGUCGCGUGCGCCGCCCUCCUCCUGUCGCCCGCACCGUUGCAUGCACCGCAGCCUUUUCAUCCAGUCGCUGUGCUGCUGGCAUCUUUUCUGGCACCGGUCGCUGUUCUCGUCGUCGUCGGCGGCGGCGUCCUCCUGUUGCUUACGCUCGCAGCGCUGCACGCACCACUGCCUCGCCUGCCGAUCGCUGUGGUGCUGGCAUCUCUUCUGGCACCGGCCGCUGUUGUCGUCGUCGGCGGCGGCGUCCUCCUCCUGUUGCUUACGCUCGCAGCGCUGCACGCACCACUGCCUCGCCUGCCGAUCGCUGUGGCGCCGGCAUUUCAUCUGGCACCGCCGGUCGCUGUCGUCCUCGUCGACGUUGGAGUCACGGCUGCCGCCGCGCUGCUGUCGCCGGCGCUCGCAAGCCUGGACGCACUGCUGCCUGCUUUCCCGGUCGUGGUGGCCCUCGCACUGCUUCUCGCAAGGGCAGCGGUCGCCGCUGUCCUCCUCCUCCUCGCCGCGCCGGCCGCCGCUGCCGCCCUCCUCCUCCCGCUCCCGGCUCUUGCAGUCCAUCAGGCAGCGCUGCCUCUCCCACCAGUCCCCGCGGUGGUGGCGCUCGCACCUCUCCCGGCACUUGCCCGCGCUCUCGCUGCCGCGACCGUACUCUUGCUCCAUGUCGACGGCCAGUCCGCGGCGGCGGCACCGCCUCAUGCACUCCUGGGUCUCCCACGGCUGGCCCUCGUGGCGGCGCAGGCACUGGCGCCGGCACUCGCCCCUCCCGGAGCGGGAGACGUAGGCGUCCACGCCGCUGUCGCCGUCCUCGCCCGCGUCAGCUUGCUGGUGCCGCUCGCGGCACUCGCUCUCGCAUUCCCUCUUCCGCGGGGUGUCCUUUCCGUACUGCCACUCGCACGCCUGCUUGCACCACCGCAGGUCCUCCUUGCGGUCCCGUUCGACCACUCCGUCCUCCGCCCCGGCCGUGGCUGCUACGACCAGCAGCACGCCGGCGAGCAGGAGGAACGCCCACCAUGAUGCACCCACACUACCCUUCCCCAUGUGUCGUCGUCCGCCACCCGACCAGUGAUCUCGUCGACGUACAAAUCACAAGCUACUAAAGGAGUGGCGGACUGUGUGGUGAACGAGGGUGAGGAGAUGGCUGGGUC